rnacentral:rRNA from 1 species
CCUACGGGAGGCAGCGGUAGGGAAUAUUGCUCAAUGGGGGAAACCCUGAAGCAGCAACGCCGCGUGGAGGACGACGGUCCUCGGAUUUGUAACUCUCUUUUUUAGAGAAGAUAAUGACCGUACCUAACGCAUAAUCACCGUCGAACUCCGUGCCAGAAGCCGCGGCAAGAUGGAGGGUGCAGGCGGUAAUCGGAAUCACUGGGCGUUAAGAGCGCGUAGGCGGGAUAGCAAGUCAGUUGUGAAAUCCUCGGGGUGAACCGUAGAAAUGCAUUUGAAACUGGUAUUCUAGAGUAGGGGAGAGGUAGGUGGAAUGCGUGGUGUAGGGGUAAAAUGCGUAGAGAUCAAGAGGAAUACUGAUUGCGAAGGCGGCAUGCUAGAACAUGACUGACGCUGAGGCGCGAAAGCGUGGGGAGCGAACAGGAUUAGAUACCCGGGUAGUC